AACAGAAACACAAACGAGUAGGAACUACAUGGCGAAGCGAGGAAGGUGACAUGUGCUAGCCUAACAUCUCCAGAAAGAAGGAAGCAUAAAUUACAUUAUGAAAGAGAACGAAGAAAGGGAAGAUUUUAAUCGGAGAACAGACAGGUGGAAUUAUAAACGACAACUAAAUCGGAACUCAUGUGGAAAUAACACAGUUGAGUUUUUAUUGGAGAGGCAAGUGUGUAACGUACACGCGUACGUAGUGUAACGUUUGGUCUGUUGUCAUCUUUACUGAAAACUGUAAGCAUAUGAUGCGAUUGAAUCGAUGGUUAAGAUUUCUUUUGUGAUAUGUAGUGAUUGCAGAUUCACUAUUUAUAGUUCAUCAGCUUAAACCUGUUGAUAAAUCACACUUGUAUCAAUCCAGCGAAAUGGGUCCGAAGGGGAUAACGCUAAGAAAGCAUUUCGGUUCGUGGGCGACAACAUGCACAGGAUCAGGAUUUUUCGCAACGGAUAAUAUUGAAAUAAGAAAAUGUCCCAUCAAAUGUGAGCAGCUGAUUUGCUUAGACAAGCAGCUUAAACUGGUAGUGAGUAGAGUACUCAACUAAUCCACCAAUGAAUUCAGAUGAUUGUGAAAUGUCGGUCCAAGCUGUAGUAAGGAAUGUUCCAUAUGCCAGAUCUAGAUCAGGAAACAGCUACAUGGUACCCAGAGCUACAAAACAAUGAGGCCAGUCUGUUACAGUGUGUUGAUGAAACGUCCAAAAUGGUGUAUGAAGAGUGCAUGGACCAAAACAGCUAUUCCACUAUUACAGCUGAGGGACCUCAUUAAAAUUUGUUCAUAGUGAGGUGAUCUGUGGCUGAUUAUCUCCCUUACAUUGUUUGAUGGCGGGAUCCAUGGAGAUGUCCAGAAAAUGACCAACAUGCUGUUUGAAACUUUAAAAAAAAUUCUGCUGCUCAGACGUUUUUCUCGGUCAGGUAAUCUGCCCUGUUCAGUCGAUAGAGCUUUCCAUUACUCCUAGAAUUUUGCACAGCAGGUUCAUUUUCCCCAUCAUGCUCAGCAGGUUGGUCCCAUCUUCUUUAAGACCCCCCAAUCUGCUCAGAGGGUUCAGGAAAGUAACUUUCUUCUUGGUGGAUGAGGCUGGAAUAGGGAAGGGAGCUAAAUCUGUUGUCAGCAUGGUCCAUCACUAUUUUCAGCAUCAUGCAUGGACAUGGAGAAAGGAUUGCGAACAUCCAUUUUGAUAACUGGACAGAAGUUAUUAGUCUGCCUAUUGUCGUUCAAUACUACAUGAUGAUCGCUGGUCACACAAAGUUUGAUCCUGACUGGCAUUUUGGUGUGUGGAAAUUGCGCUGGAGAUCCAGUAAUGUUGAAACUCUAGAGGAGGUUGCCAAGACAGUUACACACUCAUCACGUAAUGGACAUAAUAUUCCCCAGUUGGUGAAAGAUGAAGACAAACCCAUUAUAUUUAGAGACUGGAAGUCAUAGGUAAAGCAGUACUUCAAGCCCCUGAAGAAUCUCACAAAAUAUCACCAUUUUCCUCUUGACGCUACUAAGCCUGGGACAGUGUUACUUGACGACUCUCCCACAGUGUCUGUCAACCUGCUGAAGAGAAAAGACUUCCUUCCGUCUGUAGAUGAUGAACCAGAAGACAUGAUGUCAGCAGGACUGGAUCCAUCAAGACAGUGGUAUUUGUAUGACAACAUCAGGGAAUAUUGUAAGACAGAAAGCUCACAGAACAUUACAUGUCCUAAACCCACUGUACAGAAAUCAGAAGUGGACCUAGUACAAGAAAAUGUCAAAGCACCAUGUCUUCCAUGUAAACGAAAAGGUUUACUGUUGAGAUGAUGUUGAUGAUUGCUCCCUUAGUAUAUACCUACAUGAUCUUGAUGCAAGCAGCCUGUAUAUGUAUGUCUAAAAGUUUGACAACCAAAGAAUGUUUUAUAUAGUUGUUAUUGAAUUGUUUCCCUUUAUGGUAUAAAAUGUAUUUAGAUGAAGGCUGCUUUUUUUAUGAGUGUAUGAAUUGAACUUUGAAAAUAAACUGUUUUUUGUUA